UUGAACCAAAUUCUUGUGCCUCAACUGGCUAAGGAUCAUUACCUCAGCUGCAUACUCUUUUAUCCCUUGAAUUGAGCUCUCUGAUACCCUCUUAACCACUACAAAAAUGUCCAAAUCUUUCAAAUAUCCCUUAAAUACAGCACCAAAUCCUCCCUUCCCUAGCUUCCCUUUCUCAUCAAAGUUAUUGGUUGCACAAACCAAGACAUCAUAUGGAAUAUUCUUGGCUCCAGUCACCCUUCUGAAUUCAUUGUCUUGGGAUUGCACAAUGAAUGAGUCAACUUCUGCUUCCUCUGUAUUCCCAACAAUGGGGUAAACUAUUUCUACUCCCCCUAUGGAAUGAGGGAUGGAUGAAUGAUAUUCUUCUUUCAUUUUGCUCCUCUUCUUGUGCCUGUAAUACCGGAUACCAAGCAAACCCAAAACACAAGCAACGAGCAAGCCGAUCACUGCCCCUGCAAUUUGUCCUGCCUGGCUUUUAUCUUUUCUGGGAGAAUUGGAUACUGGCAAGAUUGGUAGUGGAGGAGAGGGAGUGGUUAUGUUUUGAUGGGUUUGAAAACUUGAAUCGAAAGACCAUGAACGAAUUCUAUGAAACUCAUAAACACACCCCAGUUGCAGCAGAAAACCCCAAAAUAACCCAUUCAGGUAAGUAUCUCCUUAGAUCAACUUCACAGCAAAGAUUCUGUUCAACUAUGUUAUUUUCUGAAACUCCUGUAAAGUUAACACAGAGAUUCUUGGAACUAGAAUUAUAACUAAUCCUAGCGUCCAUUACCAUCCCAUCCAUAACGCUACUGUGCCAUUUCACACUUUUUAAAGAUCUCAAAGAGUUGAUGUCAAUACCUACAUGAUCGUCAUCCAUAUCAUCCCAUGGAUUGUAGUACGUAUCAAACUCGACAGCAACAAAUGGAUUUGCUGUUGAGUUCAAGGCCAGGUUGCCACUGGCAAGACCAAUACCGCUACCUUGCUUUUCAUCAGGCAUUCUGUAUUGUGGAGGAACAAUGAAGAAUGCGAGCCCAUCAGCGUGUGAAGCAUUGUUCUGUGCAUCAAUGGA
rnacentral:misc_RNA from 1 species